CCUCCACCCGCAGCGAGGCCAGCGAGGGGGCUGCCCGAUACCGCCAUCAUGUCCCAGAUCGAUGCAUGCUCCCCAUGGGGCGAAAACUUAUACACAGUUUAGUUCACGCAGAGGAGAGUACAGAAACAGAAUCGAGGAAUCUGUUUCUGUAUCUUCAGACCCUGUUGGACGAACAGCAGCAGUUUGAAUGAAUUCACUGAGAUACAGACGGCCCUCCAACAUGAGCUUUCCUGUACGACAGCAGCAUCACGUCGGUGCUUAUGGAUUUCCUGAUGUUGGGAGAGUUUGUGUAGAGCGAGAAGAGAAGGGGACCCAGGACGGAACCCUGAAGAACUCCAGCAGUAAGAGGACAAGGUUCCGACACAGAUCCUCUCCAGGUUACCUGGUAGGUGCGGCUGUCGAGGUAGGACGAGAGAAGGGAGAGAGCAGAGCCUGAGACACCAAGUUCCUGAAGGGAGGAGACAAGGAUCUGGUGGUUGACUCUGUCAAAUGCAGCAGAGCGGUCCAGAAGGACGAGGACAGAGGAGAGAGAGGAGCUCUAGCAGUGUGGAGUUGCUCUGAGACAGCAAGGAGAGCAGUCUCUGUGGAACGGCCUUGAAGCCUGACUGGUGGGGGUCAAGGAGGUUGUUGAUCCCUAACCCUAACCCUUGUUAACCCUAACCCUAACCCUUGUUAACCCUAACCCUAACCCUUGUUGAUCUGGUGGUUGACUGUGUCAAAUGCAGCAGUCAAGAGUCACACACAACGAGAGUCAAGUAGAUACAUUCUGCACAUUUUAUAUUCUAGUAUUGUGCUGUUUUAGUUUGUUUCUUUGUCUUUUGAUUUUUGAAAUACAGAUUUGUGGUGCGGAGGUAGACGACGUGAAGUCAUCGAAUCGACACAUCAAUGGAACGCAACGUCCUUGGAGCGAGAAAUAACAACGCAGACGAAAAGGCUACAAAAAUCCACGUUUUUAAUGAACAUCACUAAUUCAGCUUCUCUCUGGGAGUUUUUUUGUGCUUUCUCCCCUAUCAGGUCUCCGUAGUUCCUUCUGGACCCUGGUCCUGACACCUGCCGUGGCCCUGUGUACAGACUGUAAAGGCCUCUGAAGCAAAUCUAGAUGCUACGUUCCUAUGCUACGAUGCUACGUUCCUGUAGCAUCUGUGAUGGCUGGCUGAUAUGUUGUAUUCAGUGUGUAUGUAGAUAAAGUGAUAAAGAUAUCCGGAGCCGAGAAGUGAAUAUGUGACAUCAUAUUUAUUCAAUUGUACCAUAUGUCAUUUCUAAUAAAACCCCUGAAUAGUGAACUUGAAA
ensembl:lncRNA